GAUGAAGAACGUAGCGAAAUGCGAUAAGUAGUGUGAAUUGCAGAAUUCAGUGAAUCAUCGAAUCUUUGAACGCACAUUGCGCCUCUCGGCAUUCCGGGAGGCAUGCCUGUUCGAGCGUCAUCAAACAAACCCCUCGGGUGUUGGGAUCUCAGGAUCGCUCACUUGGUUUUGAAGAAGGGAUUUGCUCUCCUGCGAUCCCCCUUUGAAAGAAAUUGGCGACAUUUGCAUGUCCUUCAGUCGCGUAGUAAAUUAGCUUUAUGUUUCGCAGCUGGACGCGCAAUGGUCUGCCAUAAAACAGUACGGCCGCUUAUGGCUCCAGUGUUUGACCUCGGAUCAGGCAGGGAUACCCGCUGAACUUAAGCAUAUCAAUAAGCGGAGGA
rnacentral:misc_RNA from 1 species